UGGGGAAUUUUGGACAAUGGGCGAAAGCCUGAUCCAGCAAUGCCGCGUGUGUGAAGAAGGCCUUCGGGUUGUAAAGCACUUUUGUCCGGAAAGAAAUCCUCUGGGUUAAUACCUCGGGGGGAGUGACGGUACCGGAAGAAUAAGCACCGGCUAACUACGUGCCAGCAGCCGCGGUAAUACGUAGGGUGCAAGCGUUAAUCGGAAUUACUGGGCGUAAAGCGUGCGCAGGCGGUUUUGUAAGACGGAUGUGAAAUCCCCGGGCUUAACCUGGGAACUGCAUUCGUGACUGCAAGGCUAGAGUAUGGCAGAGGGGGGUAGAAUUCCACGUGUAGCAGUGAAAUGCGUAGAGAUGUGGAGGAAUACCGAUGGCGAAGGCAGCCCCCUGGGCAAUACUGACGCUCAUGCACGAAAGCGUGGGGAGCAAACAGGAUUAGAUACCCUGGUAGUCCACGCCCUAAAACGAUGUCAACUAGUUGUUGGGGAUUCAUUUCCUUAGUAACGUAGCUAACGCGUGAAGUUGACCGCCUGGGGAGUACGGUCGCAAGAUUAAAACUCAAAUGAAUUGACGGGGUCAUAGCUGUUUCCU
rnacentral:rRNA from 1 species